rnacentral:lncRNA from 1 species
GAUUGGAGGAGGUUCUAAAAAGGUAUUGCCAGGUGUUGGUGUUAGCGGUGGAACAGCAGGUGACAAAGUGGCUGAGGGAGGGGGCGAUGUUGGAGAACAUAAGCCGUCAAAAUGCAGAGCUGGAGGAGAAGACGAGGUAGAUAAGCGUUGGGCAUUGGAUCUGGGUAUUUAGUUUCUUUGUGAUUAUAAUACCCAAAGGAUAAUACUAUGAUGCUCUUUUAUAAUAUUUUAUUAUAAAAAAUAUUAUAAUUUUUUUUUUCUCUGCUUCUUCCUU